rnacentral:rRNA from 1 species
CCCUACGGGGUGCUCCUCAACAUCACGGAAGACCACCUGGAUCGCUAUGAAGACUUUGAAGCCUAUGUGGAAUCGAAGCUCUCCAUCUUUUCCCGCCAGGGUCCUUCUCAGGUGGCGGUAGUGAACCUGGAUGAUCCCCUGUGCCGCCAAGGGGCCAUGAAGGUUCCGGGCAGGCUCCUCCUGUCCGGGCGCAAUGACCCUCGGGCGCACGCGAGUAUUGAAGGCCGGAGAGUACGGGUGGGGAUACCGGGAAUUGAGCCGUUUCAGUUGAGUCUGGAGCGCUGCAGGCUCAAAGGAAUCCACAACGAAGAAAAUAUCCUGGCUGCAGUCCUGGCGGCGGCAGCGCUGGAUAUUUCCCCUGAUGUACUACAGGAGGUAUUGGAUGUGUAUCGCGGGCUGCCUCACCGUGUAGAAUGGGUGGGCAAUUGGCGGGAGGGC